UGGCUCUCGCAUCGAUGAAGAACGCAGCGAAAUGCGAUACGUAAUGUGAAUUGCAGAAUUCAGUGAAUCAUCGAAUCUUUGAACGCACCUUGCGCCCCUUGGCAUUCCGAGGGGCACACCCGUUUGAGUGUCGUGAAAUCUUCAAAACCCUCUUCUUUGAUCCGUUUUGGUCGGGAAAAGGAUUUUUGGACUUGGAGGUUCAAUGCUCGCCCUUUCUUUUGAAAGCGAGCUCCUCUCAAAUGAAUCAGUGGGGUCCGCUUUGCUGAUCCUUGACGUGAUAAGAUGUUUCUACGUUUUGGGUUUAGCACUGUCCCUUGGACACCUGCUCCUAACCGUCUCACGGACAAUGAUGGUGCUCUGGUCACCGCCGUUUACAUCGGCGGGAGGCUGGACCCACAAAAAGAAAACCUUGACCUCAAAUCGGGUGAGACUACCCGCUGA
rnacentral:misc_RNA from 1 species